UACGUAGGGGGCGAGCGUUAUCCGGAUUCACUGGGUGUAAAGGGAGCGUAGACGGCCAUGCAAGCCAGGGGUGAAAGCCCGGGGCCCAACCCCGGGACUGCCCUUGGAACUGCAUGGCUGGAGUGCGGGAGGGGCAGGCGGAAUUCCUGGUGUAGCGGUGAGAUGCGUAGAUAUCAGGAGGAACACCGGCGGCGAAGGCGGCCUGCUGGACCGCGACUGACGUUGAGGCUCGAAAGCGUGGGGAGCGAACAGG
rnacentral:rRNA from 1 species